rnacentral:lncRNA from 1 species
GUCCCUGGCUCGGCUCUACCCCCAUGGAUCUAGGUGGGCUCAAUGUCAUCACAAGGGUGCUUAAGAGGGAAAGAGGAAGCCAUGAGGGUCAGAGUCAAAGGAAGACUUGAAGAUACUACACUGCGGACUUUAAAGAUGAAGGAAGGGGCGAAAACCAAGAAUGUGGGAAGCCUCUAGAAGCUAGAGAAGGCAAGGAAACAAAUUUUCCACUAGAGCCUCCAGAAGGAACACAGCCCUGCUGACCCACUGUAAUGUCUGACCUCUAGAUGUGUAAGGGUAGUAAGACUGAAAGUCUCAGAAAGGCACUGUUAAAUUCUUAUUCCUCAACUAUGCAACUCAAAACUGGGGUCCUCAGCAGUGAGCGAGGGGUGAGAGAAGACACUGUAUAAACAUGGCACAUCCUCCUGGAAAGUCAACUUUACUCAAAGGUUCUUACACACAGUGACAGCUAGCAGAGUCUAAAAUGCUGACAUUAUGACUUAGAGAUGUGAUAAAGAGAAACAUCUAUUGCAUUUUCUUGGCUCGUGUGGAAUGACUUAUCCUGGAAUUUAGAGUUGAAGAUAAUCCUGAUGCUUCAAAGAGAAGAGUUGGAACACAGUCCUUUUUUCUAAACAGAGGAAUUGUUGAAUAUGCGACUGAACCUCUGACUUAACUAAUUAGUUAAUUUGGAGCAGAGUUUGAACACAGUCCUUUUUCUAAACAGAGGAAUUGUUGAAUAUGCAACUGGUCCUCUGACUUAACUAAUUAUUUAAUUUGGAAGUUAUAGGUUUUUUAUUACUUGAGGAGCAGCUUUCUCUGAACAAAUACAGUGUCCCCUGGGGUGUCCAAAUUGUGACAGAAAAGUAGCGCCAGCUUGAAACUAGCUAGUCAUCACAUAGUGGCAUCAUGUGAAUGAAGAAUCCCCCAAAUCUGUGACCCUCUUCUAUCCUUAUGAACUAAUUCAAUAAAUAAAUGAGCACUUUCUCAGUUCCCAAACUGAGAGCAGUUUAAAAAAAUAAUGAGAGCACAGAUAUCUAUUUAGAGAGAUGGCGAGAUAGAGGAGAGAGCAAGUUGCACACCACGAAACAAAGGGAAAGAUAAGAAGAGAGAGUGUGUCACUACUUCCCCGUGGCAGAAUCACAAUCUUUUUUGGAUGUCAUGUUGAAAAGAUUCCCAAUUCGUAGUUCUGUGAGCUAAAGCAGAUGGAUGCUCCAUGUUGGUACAAAUUCCUAUUUGAAGCAGUGUGGUUGCAAAGAUGGGGUUUGGGUCAUUUGAUUUUCUCCGAAAAACAAUCUUGUGUAACUGUUAAAAGAAUUUAUAAUACCCAAUGCAAUGUAUCAUCCGUGAUGCUUCUUCAAAAAUGUUAAAUAAAUGCUGAAACCAGUGUUUCAA